rnacentral:rRNA from 1 species
CCUACGGGUGGCAGCAGUGGGGAAUAUUGCACAAUGGGGGAAACCCUGAUGCAGCGACGCCGCGUGAGUGAAGAAGUAUUUCGGUAUGUAAAGCUCUAUCAGCAGGGAAGAAAAUGACGGUACCUGAUUAAGAAGCCCCGGCUAACUACGUGCCAGCAGCCGCGGUAAUACGUAGGGGGCAAGCGUUAUCCGGAUUUACUGGGUGUAAAGGGAGCGUAGACGGCAGCACAAGUCUGGAGUGAAAUGCCGGGGCUUAACCCCGGAACUGCUUUGGAAACUGUGCAGCUAGAGUGCAGGAGAGGUAAGUGGAAUUCCUAGUGUAGCGGUGAAAUGCGUAGAUAUUAGGAGGAACACCAGUGGUGAAGGCGGCUUACUGGACUGGAACUGACGCUGAUGCUCAAAAGCGCGGGUAUCGAACAGGAUUAGAUACCCUUGUGUC